AACCUUCUUACGAAGGUAUGCUUAAAGAGGGGCUUGCCCCACAUUAGUUAGUGGGUAGAGUAAAAGCCUACCAAGACGAUGAUGUGUAGCUGGACUGAAAGGUUGAACAGCCACAUUGGGACUGAAACACGGCCCAAACUCCUACGGGAGGCAGCAGUAGGGAAUUUUCGGCAUUGGAGGAAACUCUGACCGAGCAACGCCGCGUGAACGAUGAAGUAUUUCGGUAUGUAAAGUUCUUUUAUUGAAGAAGAAAAAGUAGUGGAAAAACUAUAUUGACGUUAUUCAAUGAAUAAGCCCCGGCUAACUAUGUGCCAGCAGCCGCGGUAAGACAUAGGGGGCGAGCGUUAUCCGGAAUUAUUGGGCGUAAAGGGUGCGUAGGCUGUUAGAUAAGUCUAUAAUUUAAUUUCAGUGCUUAACGCUGUCUUGUUAUAGAAACUGUCUUGACUAGAGUGAGAUAGAGGCAAGCGGAAUUCCAUGUGUAGCGGUAAAAUGUGUAAAUAUAUGGAGGAACACCAGAAGCGUAGGCGGCUUGCUGGGUCUUUACUGACGCUGAGGCACGAAAGCGUGGGUAGCAAACAGGAUUAGAUACCCUGGUAGUCCACGCCGUAAACGAUGAGUACUAAGUGUCGGGGUAAAACUCGGUACUGAAGUUAACACAUUAAGUACUCCGCCUGAGUAGUACGUACGCAAGUAUGAAACUUAAAGGAAUUGACGGGACUCCGCACAAGCGGUGGAUCAUGUUGUUUAAUUCGAAGAUACACGAAAAAUCUUACCAGGUCUUGACAUACUCUGCAAAGCUAUAGAAAUAUAGUGGAGGUUAUCAGGGAUACAGGUGGUGCAUGGUUGUCGUCAGUUCGUGUCGUGAGAUGUUAGGUUAAGUCCUAAAACGAACGCAACCCUUGUCGUUAAUUGCCAGCACAUAAUGGUGGGGACUUUAACGAGACUGCCAAUUAAACAUUGGAGGAAGGUGAGGAUUACGUCAAAUCAUCAUGCCCCUUAUGAUCUGGGCUACAAACGUGAUACAAUGGCUGUGACAAAGAGUAGCUGAAACGCGAGUUUUUAGCCAAUCUCAAAAAAGCAGUCUCAGUUCGGAUUGAAGUCUGUAACUCGACUUCAUGAAGUU
rnacentral:rRNA from 1 species